CGAGGAUUCCCCUAGUAACGGCGAGUGAACGGGGAAAAGCCCAGCGCUGAAUCCCUCGGCCAUUGGUCGCUGGGAACUGUAGCGUACAGGUGCGGCUGUCCGUUUGUUUCGUGCACCCAAAGUCCCCUUGAGCGGGGCUACAGUCCAUAGAAGGUGCUAGACCUGUACGGGUGGUGAGACAUGCGGUAGGUUGCUCCUUGGAGUCGGGUUGCCUGAGAUCGCAGCCCAAAGAGGGUGGUAAACCUCAUCUAAGGCUAAAUACGGCCACGAGACCGAUAGCAAACAAGUACCGUGAGGGAAAGUUGCAAAGAACUUUGAAGAGAGAGUUCAAGAGGGCGUGAAACCGCUGAGAUGGAAACGGAUAGAGUUGACUAAACUCGAUGGCAUUCAGCUGAUCCGCGCGGCGGUCUUGCGGCUUUGUGCCUCGAUGAGGACAAUGACGCGAGUAACUGUAGCGUAUUGAUUAGUGUAUUUGCCGUCGGUAUGCGCUGAGAGCUUCGCUACCGUGCGUUGAUGAGCGUGUAGUGGACCAUUCCUUCCGGGCGUGGAACCCCCCGCGCUUCUAUGCGCAUCGGUGGUGAAGAGUGCGCUGUCUCCGCUAUUGCGCAUCGCCUGCGGCGCGGCUUUUGUGACUGCUGGGUAGUCGCGUGCGACUGCUUUCAGUUGGCGAGGGCCCGCCGUAACGCUUGUUGCGUGGGGACAGCAUCUCGGUGUGAACGUUGACCACCUAUCCGA
rnacentral:rRNA from 1 species